rnacentral:rRNA from 1 species
UACGGAGGGUGCAAGCGUUAUCCGGAUUUACUGGGUUUAAAGGGUGUGUAGGCGGGCUAUUAAGUCAGUGGUGAAAUCUCCGGGCUCAACCUGGAAACUGCCAUUGAUACUAUUAGUCUUGAAUUUUGUUGAGGUAGGCGGAAUAAGUCAUGUAGCGGUGAAAAUGCAUAGAUAUGACUUAGAACACCAAUUGCGAAGGCAGCUUGCUAAACAAAUAUUGACGCUGAGGCACGAAAGCGUGGGGAUCAAACAGG